UACGAAGGGGGCUAGCGUUACUCGGAUUGAUUGGGCGUAAAGGGCGCGUAGGCGGUUUGUACGGUCAGACGUGAAAUUCCUGGGCUCAACCUGGGGGCUGCGUUUGAUACGUGCAGACUUGAGUUCGGAAGAGGGUCGUGGAAUUCCCAGUGUAGAGGUGAAAUUCGUAGAUAUUGGGAAGAACACCGGUGGCGAAGGCGGCGACCUGGUCCGAUACUGACGCUGAGGCGCGAAAGCGUGGGGAGCGAACAGG
rnacentral:rRNA from 1 species